GACGAACGCUGGCGGCGUGCCUAACACAUGCAAGUCGAGCGGGGUCCAUCCAGUGGCAACACUGGGGAAGACCUAGCGGCGAACGGGUGAGUAACACGUGAGGAACCUGCCCCGAAGACCGGGAUAACCCGAGGAAACUCGAGCUAAUACCGGAUACCCCCACGAGAUCGCAUGGUCUUGUGAGGAAAUGUCUUUUCGCUUCGGGAGGGCCUCGCGGCCUAUCAGCUAGUUGGCGGGGUAACGGCCCACCAAGGCAUCGACGGGUAGCUGGUCUGAGAGGACGAUCAGCCACACUGGGACUGAGACACGGCCCAGACUCCUACGGGAGGCAGCAGUGGGGAAUCUUGCGCAAUGGGCGAAAGCCUGACGCAGCAACGCCGCGUGGGGGGACGAAGGCUCUCGGGUUGUAAACCCCCUUUCAGGAGGGACGAAAUUGACGGUACCUCCAGAAGAAGCCCCGGCCAACUACGUGCCAGCAGCCGCGGUAAU
rnacentral:rRNA from 1 species